rnacentral:rRNA from 1 species
AGCGGGGACCACCCCGUAAGGCUAAAUACUCCUUAGUGACCGAUAGCGCAUAGUACUGUGAAGGAAAGGUGAAAAGGACCCCGGGAGGGGAGUGAAAGAGAACCUGAAACCCUGUGUUUACAAGCUGUGGAAGUAUCGAAAGGGUACAACCGCGUACUUUUUGUAGAACGGUCCGGCGAGUUACGUCGGCUGGCGAGGUUAAGCACUAUAGGUGUGGAGCCGAAGGGAAACCAAGUCUUAAUAGGGCGUCCAGUCAGCCGGAGUAGACCCGAAACCGGGUGAUCUAUCCAUGUCCAGGAUGAAGUUGCCGUAAAAGGCAAUGGAGGUCCGAACGCACAUCUGUUGAAAAAGGUGGCGAUGAGGUGUGGAUAGGGGAGAAAUUCCAAUCGAACCCGGAGAUAGCUGGUUCUCCUCGAAAUAGCUUUAGGGCUAGCCCUGUGACAGUCAGACGGAGGUAGAGCACUGAAUUUCCUAGGGGGCGUCAAAGUCUACCGAAGAAUAUCAAACUCCGAAUGCCGUAAUGAUGAUUCACAGGAGUCAGACUGCACGAGAUAAGUUGGGUAGUCAAAAGGGAAAGAGCCCAGACCUACAGCUAAGGUCCCAAAGUGCGUGUUAAGUGGAAAAGGAUGUGGGAUUUCGAAGACAACUAGGAUGUUGGCUCAGAAGCAGCCAUCCAUUCAAAGAGUGCGUAAUAGCUCACUAGUCGAGAGGUCCUGCGCCGAAAAUGUCCGGGGCUAAAACACGACACCGAAGCUUAGGAAUAUACAUUGUAUAUUGGUAGAGGAGCAAUCUUAACGGGAAGAAGCAGUACUGUAAGGUGCUGUGGACUGUUAAGAAGAGAGAAUGCCGGAAUGAGUAGCGAGAUGGAGGUGGGAAUCCUCCAGGCCGAAUAUCCAAGGUUUCCAGGGUAAAGCUGAUCUGCCCUGGGGAAGUCGGGGCCUAAGGCGAGGUCGAAAGACGUAGCUGAUGGACAACAGGUUGAUAUUCCUGUACUAUCAUAUGACAGAACUGUGGGGACGCAGAAAGAGAGCCUGAGCCGGGAAAGGGAAAACCGGUGCAAGCGGGGUAGGAGUCGUGUAGGCAAAUCCGCACGGCAAUCCGAAGACGUGAUGCGGAGCGAAUUAAAGUAGCGAAGCAGGUGAGCUGGCUGCCAAGAAAAGCCGCUAUUGUUCAUAUGAUACCCGUACCGUAAACCGACACAGGUGGAUGAGGAGAGAAUCCUAAGGCCGGCGGGAGAAGCAUUGUUAAGGAACUCGGCAAAAUGACCCCGUAACUUCGGGAGAAGGGGUGCCUGCGAGAGCAGGCCGCAGAGAAUAGGCUCAAGCAACUGUUUAGCAAAAACACAGGUCUAUGCGAAACCGAAAGGUGAGGUAUAUGGGCUGACGCCUGCCCGGUGCUGGAAGGUUAAGAGGAGAUGUCAGGAAACGAAGCAUUGAAUUUAAGCCCCAGUAAACGGCGGCCGUAACUAUAACGGUCCUAAGGUAGCGAAAUUCCUUGUCGGGUAAGUUCCGACCCGCACGAAAGGCGUAAUGAUUUGAGCGCUGUCUCGACAAUGCA